rnacentral:rRNA from 1 species
GGGUUGUGAGGUUAAGCGACUAAGCGUACACGGUGGAUGCCUAGGCAGUCAGAGGCGAUGAAGGGCGUGCUAAUCUGCGAAAAGCGUCGGUAAGCUGAUAUGAAGCGUUAUAACCGACGAUACCCGAAUGGGGAAACCCAGUGCAAUACGUUGCACUAUCGUUAGAUGAAUACAUAGUCUAACGAGGCGAACCGGGGGAACUGAAACAUCUAAGUACCCCGAGGAAAAGAAAUCAACCGAGAUUCCCCCAGUAGCGGCGAGCGAACGGGGAGGAGCCCAGAGUCUGAAUCAGUUUGUGUGUUAGUGGAAGCGUCUGGAAAGUCGCACGGUACAGGGUGAUAGUCCCGUACACCAAAAUGCAUAGGCUGUGAACUCGAUGAGUAGGGCGGGACACGUGACAUCCUGUCUGAAUAUGGGGGGACCAUCCUCCAAGGCUAAAUACUCCUGACUGACCGAUAGUGAACCAGUACCGUGAGGGAAAGGCGAAAAGAACCCCGGCGAGGGGAGUGAAAUAGAACCUGAAACCGUGUACGUACAAGCAGUGGGAGCACCUUCGUGGUGUGACUGCGUACCUUUUGUAUAAUGGGUCAGCGACUUAUAUUUUGUAGCAAGGUUAACCGAAUAGGGGAGCCGUAGGGAAACCGAGUCUUAACUGGGCGUCUAGUUGCAAGGUAUAGACCCGAAACCCGGUGAUCUAGCCAUGGGCAGGUUGAAGGUUGGGUAACACUAACUGGAGGACCGAACCGACUAAUGUUGAAAAAUUAGCGGAUGACUUGUGGCUGGGGGUGAAAGGCCAAUCAAACCGGGAGAUAGCUGGUUCUCCCCGAAAGCUAUUUAGGUAGCGCCUCGUGAACUCAUCUUCGGGGGUAGAGCACUGUUUCGGCUAGGGGGCCAUCCCGGCUUACCAAACCGAUGCAAACUCCGAAUACCGAAGAAUGUUAUCACGGGAGACACACGGCGGGUGCUAACGUCCGUCGUGAAGAGGGAAACAACCCAGACCGCCAGCUAAGGUCCCAAAGUCAUGGUUAAGUGGGAAACGAUGUGGGAAGGCACAGACAGCCAGGAUGUUGGCUUAGAAGCAGCCAUCAUUUAAAGAAAGCGUAAUAGCUCACUGGUCGAGUCGGCCUGCGCGGAAGAUGUAACGGGGCUAAACCAUGCACCGAAGCUGCGGCAGCGACACUUAGGUGUUGUUGGGUAGGGGAGCGUUCUGUAAGCCGUUGAAGGUGACCUGUGAGGGUUGCUGGAGGUAUCAGAAGUGCGAAUGCUGACAUAAGUAACGAUAAUGCGGGUGAAAAACCCGCACGCCGGAAGACCAAGGGUUCCUGUCCAACGUUAAUCGGGGCAGGGUGAGUCGACCCCUAAGGCGAGGCUGAAAAGCGUAGUCGAUGGGAAACAGGUUAAUAUUCCUGUACUUGGUGUUACUGCGAAGGGGGGACGGAGAAGGCUAGGCUGGCCGGGCGACGGUUGUCCCGGUUUAAGCGUGUAGGGGGAGUGACCAGGUAAAUCCGGUUGCUUAUCAACCCUGAGGCGUGAUGACGAUGCACUACGGUGCAGAAGCAGUUGAUGCCAUGCUUCCAGGAAAAGCCUCUAAGCAUCAGGUAACAUUAAAUCGUACCCCAAACCGACACAGGUGGUCAGGUAGAGAAUACUCAGGCGCUUGAGAGAACUCGGGUGAAGGAACUAGGCAAAAUGGUGCCGUAACUUCGGGAGAAGGCACGCUGGCGUUAGGUGAAAGGACUAGCUCCUGGAGCUGAAGCCAGUCGCAGAUACCAGCUGGCUGCAACUGUUUAAUAAAAACACAGCACUGUGCAAACACGAAAGUGGACGUAUACGGUGUGACGCCUGCCCGGUGCUGGAAGGUUAAUUGAUGGGGUCAGCCGCAAGGCGAAGCUCUUGAUCGAAGCCCCAGUAAACGGCGGCCGUAACUAUAACGGUCCUAAGGUAGCGAAAUUCCUUGUCGGGUAAGUUCCGACCUGCACGAAUGGCGUAAUGAUGGCCAGGCUGUCUCCACCCGAGACUCAGUGAAAUUGAACUCGCUGUGAAGAUGCAGUGUACCCGCGGCAAGACGGAAAGACCCCGUGAACCUUUACUAUAGCUUGACACUGAACAUUGAGCCUUGAUGUGUAGGAUAGGUGGGAGGCCUUGAAGUGUGGACGCCAGUCUGCAUGGAGCCAACCUUGAAAUACCACCCUUUAAUGUUUGAUGUUCUAACUCGGCCCCAUGAUCUGGGGUGAGGACAGUGUCUGGUGGGUAGUUUGACUGGGGCGGUCUCCUCCCAAAGAGUAACGGAGGAGCACGAAGGUUAGCUAAUCACGGUCGGACAUCGUGAGGUUAGUGCAAAGGCAUAAGCUAGCUUGACUGCGAGAGUGACGGCUCGAGCA